CGUCUAGGCGGAAUAGCAAGUCAGGUGUGAAAGCCCACGGCUCAACCGUGGAAUAGCACUUGAAACUGCUAAUCUUGAGUACGGAAGAGGAGAGCGGAAUUCCUGGUGUAGCGGUGAAAUGCGUAGAUAUCAGGAAGAACACCGGUGGCGAAGGCGGCUCUCUGGUCCGAUACUGACGCUGAAGCGCGAAAGUGUGGGGAGCGAACAGGAUUAGAUACCCUGGUAGUCC
rnacentral:rRNA from 1 species